rnacentral:rRNA from 1 species
UGUGCCAGCAGCCGCGGUAAUACGUAGGGUGCAAGCGUUAAUCGGAAUUACUGGGCGUAAAGCGUGCGCAGGCGGUUUUGUAAGUCUGACGUGAAAUCCCCGGGCUUAACCUGGGAAUUGCGUUGGAGACUGCAAGGCUAGAAUCUGGCAGAGGGGGGUAGAAUUCCACGUGUAGCAGUGAAAUGCGUAGAGAUGUGGAGGAACACCGAUGGCGAAGGCAGCCCCCUGGGUCAAGAUUGACGCUCAUGCACGAAAGCGUGGGGAG